rnacentral:rRNA from 1 species
UUUUGUUCCAGCAGUAAACUAUGCCGACUGGAUGGUGUGUGUUGCACUGUGCGCGAGAAAUCUGUGAGUGUGUGGGCUCUGGGGAUAGUAUGAUCGCAAGAGGGAAACUUAAAGAGAUGACGGAAGGACACCACCAGAGGAGGUCGUUGCGGCUUAAUUUGACUCAACGCGAAAGGGGGGAACAUGCCAAAAUUUAUCUGGGACGGCCACUGUAGGGCUUGACGCAUUCUUAGCACUUUUUUGAUUCGGUAAAGGGCGGAACAAGGCCCAAUUGAGGUGGGAGGGUCCAGCUCCCUGCGUAAUUCCGAUAAGGAACUAAUAUCUAGCCUAUUCAAUAGUUCCCCGGGUCUCCGAUGCGCCGGCCACUGUGGUGUUAAAGGGACAAGUGGGGGUAAGCCCCACAAAA